AAAUAAAUAAAUAAAUAAAAAUAAGAAUAAGAAUAAUAAGGCAUUUAUUUUAGCGAAACCUUAGGGACAACUAACAUUUUGACUCUCAUGACCUCUAUGGUAAAACAAUUUUGAAACUUUAGCUUUGAAUCUUUUUCAUUUAGGAUGUUAUCUGAGUAUUUCUCCAAGACAAAGUAUAAAAACAUUUAUAAAUAAAUGAAACUGAGAAACAGACAUUGCUUAAUUAAUACAUCAAAAUGAAUAUGCUUUUUAGUACCACUCAAGAUGCGUAAACGCUCAA
rnacentral:misc_RNA from 1 species